rnacentral:rRNA from 1 species
UACGAAGGUGGCAAGCGUUGUUCGGAUUUACUGGGCGUACAGGGAGCGUAGGCGGUUGGGUAAGCCCUCCGUGAAAUCUCCGGGCCUAACCCGGAAAGUGCGGAGGGGACUGCUCGGCUAGAGGAUGGGAGAGGAGCGCGGAAUUCCCGGUGUAGCGGUGAAAUGCGUAGAGAUCGGGAGGAAGGCCGGUGGCGAAGGCGGGUCUCUGGACAGUUCCUGACGCUGAGGCACGAAGGUCAGGGGAGCAAACGGG